GGCCUGGCGGGAUGGUCCGCCUUACGGUGUGUACUGUCCGGCCGGGUCUUACCUCCUGGUGAGCCCGUAUGUCCUUUAUUGGGUGUGCGGUGGAACCAGGAAUUUUACCUUGAGAAAAUUAGAGUGUUUAAAGCAGGCCUACGCUUGAAUACAUUAGCAUGGAAUAAUAGAAUAGGACUU
rnacentral:rRNA from 1 species